rnacentral:lncRNA from 1 species
CCCCGGUGCCCAGGCAUCCUUGGCUGUAUCACCAACAUUUGCAUGGGAACACCAGGAAGGGGGAGAGGUGAGAAGAUCCUCCUUGAGCAAUUGCAAGCAGGACUUCCUGGAAGCUGCUGCUACUGAGGACAAGACUGUUCUGUUCAUGCUCGGUGAGUCAUCUGUUACAUCCCGGACAAUGACAUGAGGUGAAGGAAGCAUUCAGCACAAAUGACAAAACGGCUCCUCUGAAAGUAACCGGGGCCUUGGCACUUGGUUCUUCAUGAAAGCAACAAAUCUUUCACAGGUACUGCUCCAGAUACACCACAUCCAGUGAGUGCACACACUGUCGGUGACCUGCUCACAUCCAGGAAGAAAGGUCCAGCACUCAGGCCCCACAGGAGGGCACUGCAGCUCACUGCCUAGCACAGUGGAUGGGUCCGGAACAGCACCCACGCUGAAGUACAGUGCUCUGUAGGUAAAGGCCUGCUAGACAUCAGCAGUAGCUGUGCCCAGAACUCUCACACAGAGGAUAUUACAGCGGCCAGGACUUCACUCCCUGUCCAAGCCUUCCUGUCCAGAAGAUGGAAACCCUGCUGCCGUGGACAUGGGCUGGGCUCUUGGGCAGAGCGACUAUCAGAGGGGAUGCAUGCUGAGCUCGGCUCAGGGUGAGGCACAGUUGCUGCACAACCUUGCUAUUAACUGCCAAAAUUUUGGAUAUCUUGAAUGUCUUUCAAUUCUUUAAUUAAAAAAUUAAUGU